rnacentral:tRNA from 1 species
CGGGCUAUAGUGUAGCGGCAACAUGCAUGCAUGGGGUGCAUGAGACGCUGGGUUCGACUCCCAGUAGCCCGA